rnacentral:rRNA from 1 species
AUUGAACGCUGGCGGCAGGCCUAACACAUGCAAGUCGAGCGGAUGAAGAGAGCUUGCUCUCUGAUUCAGCGGCGGACGGGUGAGUAAUGCCUAGGAAUCUGCCUGGUAGUGGGGGACAACGUUUCGAAAGGAACGCUAGUACCGCAUACGUCCUACGGGAGAAAGCAGGGGACCUUCGGGCCUUGCACUAUCAGAUGAGCCUAGGUCGGAUUAGCUAGUUGGUGAGGUAAUGGCUCACCAAGGCGACGAUCCGUAACUGGUCUGAGAGGAUGAUCAGUCACACUGGAACUGAGAGACGGUCCGGACUCCUACGGGAGGCAGCAGUGGGGAAUAUUGGACAAUGGGCGAAAGCCUGAUCCAGCCAUGCCGCGUGUGUAAAGAAGGGCUUCGGAUUGUAAAGCACUUUAAGUUGGGAGGAAGGGCAGUAAGUUAAUACCUUGCUGUUUUGACGUUACCGACAGAAUAAGCACCGGCUAACUCUGUGCCAGCAGCCGCCGUAA